CUUUAGUUUUCAGACUGAACUACAGUGCCUCUGACACAAAUGACAGGAACCGAGUGAAAAGCAGAUUAAAGAAGUUCAUCUCUCGAAGACCCUCCUUGAAAACAUUGCAAGAAAAGGGACUUAUUAAAGAUCAAAUUUUUGGCUCCCAUUUGCACUUGGUUUGUGAACACGAGAAAUCUACAGUCCCCCAGUUUGUAAAACUGUGUAUAAAAGCUGUUGAAAAAAGAGGUCUAGAUGUUGAUGGAAUAUACAGAGUUAGCGGCAAUCUGGCAACAAUACAGAAGUUACGAUUUGUUGUCAAUCAGG